GAUGAACGCUGGCGGCGUGCCUAAUACAUGCAAGUCGAGCGAACGGACGAGAAGCUUUCUUCUCUGAUGUUAGCGGCGGACGGGUGAGUAACACGUGGAUAACCUACCUAUAAGACUGGGAUAACUUCGGGAAACCGGAGCUAAUACCGGAUAAUAUUUUGAACCGCAUGGUUCAAAAGUGAAAGACGGUCUUGCUGUCACUUAUAGAUGGAUCCGCGCUGCAUUGGCUAGUUGGUAAGGUAACGGCUUACCAAGGCAACGAUGCAUAGCCGACCUGAGAGGGUGAUCGGACACACUGGCACUGAGACACGGUCCAGACUCCUACGGGAGGCAGCAGUAGGGAAUCUUACGCAAUGGGCGAAAGCCUGACGGAGCAACGCCGCGUGAGUGAUGAAGGUCUUCGGAUCGUAAAACUCUGUUAUUAGGGAAGAACAUAUGUGUAAGUAACUGUGCACAUCUUGACGGUACCUAAUCAGAAAGCCACGGCUAACUACGUG
rnacentral:rRNA from 1 species